rfam:Cavia porcellus supercont2_13 genomic scaffold, whole genome shotgun sequence.
GCAGGAGUAUGACCUACAAAUUGACAGACGAUGUGCCUGAGUCUGUCUGUCACUUCUGUAGGCCAACAUCCUGU